rnacentral:rRNA from 1 species
GGUGUCGUAGCCAACGCGUUAAGUGUUCCGCCUGGGGAGUACGCACGCAAGUGUGAAACUCAAAGGAAUUGGCGGGGGCCCGCACAAGCGGUGGAGUAUGUGGUUUAAUUCGAUGCAACGCGAAGAACCUUACCAGGCCUUGACAUCCUCGGAACUUUCUAGAGAUAGAUUGGUGCCUUCGGGAACCGGGUGACAGGUGCUGCAUGGCUGUCGUCAGCUCGUGUCGUGAGAUGUUGGGUUAAGUCCCGUAACGAGCGCAACCCUUGUCCUUAGUUGCCAGCACGUAAUGGUGGGAACUCUAAGGAGACUGCCGGUGACAAA